rnacentral:rRNA from 1 species
GAUGAACGCUGGCGGCGUGCCUAAUACAUGCAAGUCGAGCGAACAGACGAGGAGCUUGCUCCUCUGAUGUUAGCGGCGGACGGGUGAGUAACACGUGGAUAACCUACCUAUAAGACUGGGAUAACUUCGGGAAACCGGAGCUAAUACCGGAUAACAUGUUGAACCGCAUGGUUCAACAGUGAAAGACGGUCUUGCAGUCACUUAUAGAUGGAUCCGCGCCGCAUUAGCUAGUUGGUAAGGUAACGGCUUACCAAGGCAACGAUGCGUAGCCGACCUGAGAGGGUGAUCGGCCACACUGGAACUGAGACACGGUCCAGACUCCUACGGGAGGCAGCAGUAGGGAAUCUUCCGCAAUGGGCGAAAGCCUGACGGAGCAACGCCGCGUGAGUGAAGAAGGUCUUCGGAUCGUAAAACUCUGUUAUUAGGGAAGAACAAAUGUGUAAGUAACUAUGCACGUCUUGACGGUACCUAAUCAGAAAGCCACGGCUAACUACGUG